AUCGCUUCUCGGCCUUUUGGCUAAGAUCAAGUGUAGUAUCUGUUCUUAUCUGUGACGGUCAGAAAACUAACAUUGUAGACAGGUUUAGAUAGAGCUCUAUCUCUACAUAAAUUGCUUUUCUCUGUGUAUGGUUUGCGUAUUUUAUGUAGUUCUGGUUUUGAAAAACUGCUUGCCAUUUGAUGCAUUAUCUCU